rnacentral:lncRNA from 1 species
CAAACAAACAAAAGACCAAACAAAAACAACAGAGGUUCUACCUUCAUUCGUGCAGUCAUCGAAUAUAUCUGCUAAGCACUGACAAGCAUUGGUAAGGAUCUGCUCCGAACACAGAACCUUCCCCCACCUCAACACCACCACUCCCGCCCCCAGAAAUGGAAGUCAAGGCAGCACACGCCUGUGACUCCAGCACUUGGGAGUGGAGAACGUAGGAUUUGGAACACCUCUGUUGACUACAGAGGGAAUUCAAGACCUUGUCUCAAAAACAUGCAACAAACAAAGCUACAAUAAAGGGAUGGUGUUCUCUAGGAAGCACCUGCUGGAGGAGGAGUAGACUUUAAAGAUCAGCCCUAGGGGAAAGGGAUAUAAAGUCAACCAAACAGAGAACUCAGUGAAACCUUCUACAUGGGUGUUACUGGGGCUCCUGUCCACACACUUGCCACAACUGCAUAUAUACCUUCAAUUUAGAAAGAAUUCACAAGCACGCUUGUUUUAUGGCGUCAGCUCUCCGGCCUUAGAAGUUUUCACUGGAACAGACAAAAACCGCUGUACCCAGAGCAGCCUUGAGUUCUCCACAGUCACCCACUUGUCUCCAGGGAGGAAGGAAGGAACUCAAGAGUCUCAAAAUAGCAGCCCGGUCCUAGUCCUUCAACAUGUGCAGGUUACAUCACUUCGCAGGGCUAGCUGUGACAUCACUUCUAGACCUGAACGCAACCCACCCCGCCGCUGAGAAAAUGGAAAAUGCUGAUCCGCAGCCUCAGGACUUCCUUGCCCAGAGGCGAUUUCUUGUCCCGCCUAAACCUGACAGCAGGGCAGGUGGGUGUAGGGCCCAGCAAAGGAGCCUUUGAAAGCAGGAACCCAGACUCUGCAGGUCAGCUUGGAUCAGAUCCAGACUGGGUUCCACCCCACCACACACCCCCACCCCCUGGUGAUAAAGCAAUCUGUUUAUGGAGACGCUUUUGUGAGGUUUACAGAAUCUCUGCAUGAGAGGGAGCUGGUUCUGGCCUGGUCUCUAGGUUACCCACCACACCAAGGUGCACAAACACGGUAGGACAGAGAAGAGGGGGGUAAAAAGAGAAGCUGGCCGGCCUGGGCCCCCUCCCGGGCCGCCGUGAAACGCGCUUUAAUUGCUUCAAAGAGCCCUUCUCAAUGGGGUUUCAGAGGCGAGGGAGCGGGUCCCCGGCGAGGGCUCCUUUCCGGCUGGCCAGCAUUCCUGGGCGCUGCGAGGGGAGAGCCCGCGGCUCAUUUCCAUGCCUGUCGCAUACUGCCUCCGUUGUGCCGGGCUGGGCCGCGAGGGGAGCGCGGCUGGCAGCGAACAAAGCCCCAUUCAUCCCGGGGGACUGCUUCCUCCCGGACCAGCCGUGGCCGCAGAUGGGCUGGCUAGGGCACGCCAUCCAUCCCCAGGCUGGGGAGCAGGGCCCCGCCCGUGCACAAAGUGGUGAUGCAGGGCGCCCCCGGGCUGCGGUACCCAGGCCUCCACAGCAGGGGAGAGGCUGGGCCGGGACAGGCAGACACUGAGGCUUUUCAGCCGGGAAAUCCCGUGUCCUCGCCGGCUUCUUGAGAGCGAGGACGUCAGUUUCCACAGCCCUCUUCCCUACUCCGGCCCCCUGGGAUGGUACGGUCCGUCUUCCCAGUUGUGAAGGGACUUUGUUUCUCCUCCGUGGCCUCUGCAGUCCCCACGAAAGGGUCACUUCCUGACUUUUGUGUCUCUUCAAUCCAGUGCCUUCAAAGUUCCUCCCCUCUGGUUGUGACUAAGUACAUAACUGCGAGGCUUAUCCAUAAGGUUUUUCAGAAUUCAAACAUCCCUUUAGGUUAAAGACUGGGACUGUGGCUUCGAAAUUAACAUCGUUUGUUGUUGAUUAUUUCCCUCUCCACUGCACUGCUGCGUGUCUGGGGUGGGUGGGGGAUACAAAGAAAACACACUUGUACUGCAACCGUGUUUGCACACUACUAGAGCUUUUCCGUCGGUCCCACGUGUUAGACCCCGACCAGAGAAAGCUACAGAACUCUAACGUUGAACAGAAGCAAGUCUGGGUCACUUUUCCUUCACUCUGAAGAAGCCCCUCUAGGCUGGUUUCCACAUCCCAAGACAGAGACAGGCUCCAGACACAUUCCUCCCCAGGGGAUGCAACAGGGCAUGGCAGGAUCAAACAGCCACCAGACACUGGGGAGACUCGCCCUAAUCUAUCCAUCUUACAGAUAAGGAGCAGAUAAGAUCUAAGAGGGGAAAGGAUUUGUUCACCUCAGGCGGAAGCUGGUUCCUCUCGGCAAAAAAAAAAAAAAAAAAAAAAACUCAAAUAAAAACACAACGACCAUCUUCAAAAAGAAAAUCACCAAGAAACAUUACUGUUCACCAAGAUUUACCUUUCUGCUUGAAUCAAAAGCGGCCUCCCCUAUGGUGCACAAGAAUUGCUCCUAUGUUGCUUCUACUUCCUGCGUUUGGAACAACACUGGCCUCUCUCCAAAAAGACCUCUUUCCUCUCAGAGGGAAUAACAACCUUCAAAAUGUUCACAUGAAGAUAGAUUGACUCUGCACUGGUUAUUUCUGAAGAAAUGGGGGGGGGGGCUUGGUUUCUAAGUGCUUUACACACUGCCUCCCUCACUCCUCACGGUAGGCUCUGAAUUGGAGUCUGUAACUUUUCCUAUUUCACUGAAAAAGAAACCAAAGCUGAGAGAGACAGAGAUUAAGAUCACACAUAGGUUAAUUGGUCUUAGCUGACUUUCUGAUCUCUUCCGCACCGGGAUUUUGCUUACUAAAAGGCGCUACACAGCCACAGGGCAACAAACCGGGACAUAGGGAGGUCCUAGGCAUGCACCCGGCAGCAGGGGGAGGGGAUGGGAGUGGGGAGGUGCCUCCUGCUACCUGGAGACAGAGCAGGCUGAGGACUUGACAACUGACCAAGGAAUGUUUCUUCCAGUGCGCAAAGUGGUGGUUCCAAGAAGCCCAAGAUGGAUUCUAACUCAGCCUUUUUAGAAGAAGAUGACCUUGGAUUCCUGAACUAUAUGACUCCAACUCCUGAGUGCUGGGAUUAGGGAUGCCCAUGCCUGCUUUUACACUUACACGGUGCUGAAUAUAAAACAGCGUCAUGCAACUGCUCUACACUCCCAAUCUUGUCUGUACUAUUUAAUGACAUCCAUAAUUAGGAAAAUACUAACAAAAAUAUGAAAAUAAUAGAAGACUAAGCUCUUUGUGCCCUCUGACAAAUCCUGGCAUUACUCAUCAAAUAAAUUAUUCAAAUACUUCAUCUCAGUUUGAUUGAGAUGCAAAAGCAACUCAAGUGUCAGACAUUGGCAAUCUUCUAUUGCAACAAGCACAAGCCCCUAGCAAGUCCAUGUGUAUGUCCUUUGGUGGAAGCAAGUAGUGAAAAAUUCCAGAUACGGUCAGAUGGCAAAGGUUAUCACAGAGUCAAUACAGGACAAUAGCAAGAACCAGACUCCAGAAUCAGGCAGACCUGGUUCACAUCCUCGCUCCAUCAUUAACAUGGAUACUGACUUGAGCAAGUUAGUUAACCUCCAGGCAAAGAUGAUACUAAAUGUCUGAGUAUUCUUGUAAGUGAAGUAAGAGAAUAAACUGGUUGCUUCAGUACCUCAAGCAUAAUAACUGUAUCAGUUACUUAAUAUUCCAGGCAAAGUCACUGUAAAACUUAAGGAAGAAGCACAACGCACCAACCAUCUAUCUGCUCAAGAGUCUAUGGGCUAGCGGUUUGGGCUGAAUCCUGUACAGUAACAGUUGGACCCGAUGAUGCAUUGACGAUGUUGAUUAGUCUGGAGAAGUCUCACUCACAAGUCUUGAGACUACUGUGAAAUAGUUGGGAAAGCUGCAAUGGUGGGAGACCCCUCUUGUUUACCAAAUACUACUGCUUUCUACAGAGUGUCUCAUUCUAAUAGAGAAUGGCUGGGACUUCUUCAGCAUUCUAGAUGACAAGGCCUAAUGCACAGUGCUUUGCCAAGCCUCUAACUGCGUUGUGUGCUUCCUAAUGUCUUAUUGAACCAAACAAGUCACAUGGUGCAGACCAGCACUCAGGAUUUGUUAAGAGCUAUUUCUUUUGAACUGAUGCAAUGACUUUGUGAACCACUUUAACUUAAAUGCUAAUGGCUACCAUCACAAUGGCCCUCAGUUAUAUAAGCCUCUUCAGUAUGGAACUUGAGACGACACAGAAGAACUUCAUAUCAAUGAUUACUUGUCGUGGCCUGGCAUGUCUCAGCCCCAAACCACAGAAGCCACGAGGUCUGGCCCAAGAGGGGGAGCAUGGACUUGGGAAUUCCUAGUAACCCAAUGGCAAUAAAGACCAGACAUAGAC